UACGCGCUGUUGAUUGCCAAUGGUGGGUC
rnacentral:sRNA from 1 species